UUGAUUGAUGAGUUCAACCGGG
rnacentral:piRNA from 1 species